GUUGGAGGCAGGAAACAAAAAGAAAAAAAAACCAAAAUGUUGAAAUGCAACACCAAGAUCCAGAACAAGCUAUAUGUGACAGUGGACAAGGUGGUUUCCAUGGAGACGUCUAUG